rnacentral:rRNA from 1 species
UACAGAGGUCUCAACCGUUGUUCGGAUUCAUUGGGCGUAAAGGGCGCGUAGGCGGUCGUGCAAGUCGGAUGUGAAAUCUCAGGGCUCAACCCUGAAACUGCAUUCGAUACUGCGUGGCUAGAGUGCUGGAGAGGAGACUGGAAUUUACGGUGUAGCAGUGAAAUGCGUAGAUAUCGUAAGGAAGACCAGUGGCGAAGGCGAGUCUCUGGACAGCAACUGACGCUGAGGCACGAAGGCCAGGGGAGCAAACGGG